UACGUAGGGCGCAAGCGUUGUCCGGAAUUAUUGGGCGUAAAGAGCUCGUAGGCGGCUUGUCACGUCGGAUGUGAAAGCCCGGGGCUUAACUCCGGGUCUGCAUUCGAUACGGGCUGGCUAGAGUGUGGUAGGGGAGAUCGGAAUUCCUGGUGUAGCGGUGGAAUGCGCAGAUAUCAGGAGGAACACCGAUGGCGAAGGCAGAUCUCUGGGCCGUAACUGACGCUGAGGAGCGAAAGCAUGUGGAGCGAACAGG
rnacentral:rRNA from 1 species